rnacentral:lncRNA from 1 species
CACGGUUGUAUUCAAACUAAACCAGAUGCAGGAAACAGGACACGGUUGUAUUCAAUCUAAACCAGAUGCAGGAAACAGGACACGGUUGUAUUCAAACUAAACCAGAUGCAGGAAACAGGACACGGUUGUAUUCAAUCUAAACCAGAUGCAGGAAACAGGACACGGUUGUAUUCAAACUAAACCAGAUGCAGGAAACAGGACACGGUUGUAUUCAAACUAAACCAGAUGCAGGAAACAGGACACGGUUGUAUUCAAACUAAACCAGAUGCAGGAAACAGGACACGGUUGUAUUCAAACUAAACCAGAUGCAGGAAACAGGACAUGGUUGUAUUCAUUAGGCACCAAACAGAAGCAAACAGUGAAGGACUACCUGAACUUAUCCAGUAGGAAACACUCAAUUUCAUUACAAAGCAUUUUCUGUUGCAAAACACUUUGCUACGUUUUCCUAGUGUGCACAAAUUAAUAUACCACAGGACAGGGUCAUAUUCACUAGGAAUCAAACAUAAUGAAUACACCACAGGACAGGGUCAUAUUCAUUAGGAAUCAAACAUAAUGAAUACACCACAGGACAGGGUCAUAUUCAUUAGGAAUCAAACAUAAUGAAUACACCACAGGACAGGGUCAUAUUCACUAGGAAUCAAACAUAAUGAAUACACCACAGGACAGGGUCAUAUUCAUUAGGAAUCAAACAGAAUGAAUACACCACAGGACAGGGUCAUAUUCAUUAGGAAUCAAACAUAAUGAAUACACCACAGGACAGGGUCAUAUUCAUUAGGAAUCAAACAUAAUGAAUACACCACAGGACAGGGUCAUAUUCAUUAGGAAUCAAACAUAAUGAAUACACCACAGGACAGGGUCAUAUUCACUAGGAAUCAAACGGAAGCAAACAGGCUGAAACGAGGAGGGACGACCUGAACAUGUCUAAUAAGAAACACUCAUUUUCUGUUGUAAAGCGUUUUGCUAAGGUGUGCUACUAAUGAACACGACCCAGGUGUGUGAAGACGUGAAGGGGGACAUUAGACUGCACUACUUCCAUUAAACACCAGAUGGCGCCACAACAGUUUUACCGUUGGUUGGGGAAAGGGUUGUACAGCGUAGUACACCUAUCAGUAUACACAGCAAUAUAUAUAGCUAUCAGGGUGGAGCUCUAUUUCAAUUCACUAAGUAAACCAAACUCCAAAUGUUCUUUAUUGAAAUGCAUUGAAGACAAUUGGAACUGGAAUGUCAGUGUACAUCCUCAACUGACUGGAAUUUAAAAAGUGAUUUGACCCCAACCCUGGUAACCUCUACAUGAUAGAAAAGUGAUUCAUUUCUGUAACACAGAAUAUUAACAUGAACGUGCUACUGGAUACAUGUAAUGUGUAUUCUGCGUCAUCAUGUCUAGUAGUCCGCAUCUGAACGGUUAUAUUUGGUCUGGAUAAAGGUGUAUUGGAACCAAGGCUGCAGGUGAACUUGAAAAAGUGGUUUCUCAUUCACAACGGAGAAAAGGAUCAAUUUGAAGUUCUAGUCAAAUCAGCUAGAACGAUACAAGGUUGUCCCUUAUUGAAAAACCAAACUUAUUGAAAAACUCAAGGCAAGACAAUGUAGUGAAAAGACUUACUUAACAAACCAAAUAAAAGGGAUCUUUCCUGUCCCUGUCCACAUAGAAGACAACAAAUCAACAGAAAGAAAUAAGCACAAACAUAUAUAUAUAUUAAAUAGAAAACCAGCUCAAGAUGCAAUCACAGACAAUAGUUUAAAAACCAUCCAUUCUUCUGCUGUGGAAAAAAAGGACACUAUAUAUUUUGUAUUUACACUACCUACAACCAGAUGAACUACAACCCAAAUGGAACCCUAUUCCCUAUAUAGUGCACUACUUUUAACCAGAGUCCUGAAUUGCUAACCCUCUGUGGUUAAGGUCUAUAGUAGUGCACUACGUAGAGAAUAGAGUGCCAUUUGGGACACACAUGCCUCUUAAGACACAAACGUGACCUGCAUGUGACCAAGGCUGUCAAGCACAAUAAAACAUUUUUUUGAAACACCUCCUGACCAAAUAAUAUUUUCAGUUGAACAAUAGUGUCUCGAUCCAAAAUGGCACCUUAUUCCUUAUAUAGUGCACUACUUGUUGACCAGAGCUUAACAUUGGUUCGUGGUCAAAAGUAGUGGACAAAUUCAGGAACUGGGUGCCAUUUGGGGUUCAGACAGUUUCUACGAGACCCACUCUGUUCCAUUUCAUCAACAGGGGAAGGUUCCCAGACCCUGAUUAAGGGUUCCUAUUUUGCAAAAAUAUUGCGCAAAAGUACCAUAAACCUCAUUAUAAUCUCGCAGUUUGAUUUAAUUUGAAGCUUUUCUUCAACAAUAUGCGUUAAAAUAGAGGCGAUUGCCUAACUAGAGUUUAGUAAACUGAGUGAUGCAUUAAUAUACCUCUCGUUACACAUUGUUGAAGAAAAGUUUUAAAUGAAAUCCAACUUCCACAUUAUAACAAGUUUUACAGUACAUUUUGCACAAUAAAAAUGUGGCUCUAAUGCUGCUAUUGAUGAGAAUACAUCUCAAUUUAGGAUCCGUGUUCAGACUGAGUUGUUUCUUCUAAAAUCAGACUGGUCAGUUAACUGGUGCUAUCAACACUACAUUCAGUAUUACCUCAAUACACCCUCCUGUUUAAAGAUGUUAUCUAGACACCUAGUAGCGUUGCAGAACUCCGUUAACUUUCUCAAAGUUCCAUGGUAUUUAACAAAUCCUAGUUGGACGAUUCACGUAUUCCGUUGUAAUUCCAGGAAUCGUCCAACCAGGAUUUUGGGAAAGUUAGAGGAAUUCCGUAACCCUAUACACACACUGCUCCUCUUUAAAACAUUACCUAGAAACUGUCUAACUUAACUACACCUCGGUUCAGUCCCAAAUAGCACCAUAUUCCCUAUAUAGUGCACUACAUUUGACUAGACACACACACACACACACACACACACACACACACACACACACACACACACACACACACACACACACACACACACACACACACACACACACACACACACACACACACACACACACAUACAUAUAUUUGGGGUAUUGGGAGAAUCUCACAGAGGGAGGAACUUCUACCAUGUUAUAUUUUUUAAUCUCUUAAUACAAACAGGAAGACAAACAAAUCUAUUGUCAGCUAUGUUAAACAUCUGGAUUUAAACCAGACUGUCUGGUUGUCUACAUGACCAGCAGAAUGACAGACAGCCCUGAAGGGGACAGACAGACAGCAGGGUUUCAGGUCAAAACACAUUUCAGAUCAAAAUUAGGUCAGGAAGGGCACAAUUCAGACUUGAGAUAAAGUUGACUAAACGUGGACUUCAGUAAAACAAAAAAAUGGAUUUACUGUAAGUCUACUUAUCUCAAGUCUGAAUCGGAACACAAAGUGAACUGAAAGUCAAUCUGGGAGGAAUCCUAGUCCUUGAGAUCUCUGUGCACACUUAAAGUAGACUUCCGUGUAGAUCAUACAUUGAUGUCAAUGGAAGAUUUGUGUGAAAAUGUGAGUGCUGAUCUCAACUCGGGAAUCAGAAUUUCAAUGAUUGUAUUGAAAUAAGACAAAUUAUUUUUCUAUGUGGAUUCGGAUUAUUGACAAAUAGAAUUUCAAAUUGUCUGAACUGAAACCAGAGUUGACUUCAACCCUACUGAAUCUCCCCCCGGUCCAGUUGAAACCAGAGUUGACUUCAACCCUACUGAAUCUCACCCCGGUCCAGUUGAAACCAGAGUUGACUUCAACCCUACUGAAUCUCACCCCGGUCUAGUUGAAACCAGAGUUGACUUCAACCCUACUGAAUCUCACCCCGGUCCACACCAUUCCAGUGAAUAAGGUAACACUCAAUCUCUGUAUUUCAAUGCAUUUUCCCACAAUAGUAAAGAAAAGGUGAAUGGCAUCUACAUGUGUUGACCCUCCACUACACCACUGGCUCAGACAGUACAGUGAGGACAGGGCAGCUACUGACAGGG